rnacentral:rRNA from 1 species
ACGGUACCCAAAGAAUAAGCACCGGCUAACUUCGUGCCAGCAGCCGCGGUAAUACGAAGGGUGCAAGCGUUACUCGGAAUUACUGGGCGUAAAGCGUGCGUAGGCGGUUUGUUAAGUCUGCUGUGAAAGCCCUGGGCUCAACCUGGGAACUGCAGUGGAUACUGGCGAGCUAGAGUGUGUCAGGGGAUGGUGGAAUUCCCGGUGUAGCGGUGAAAUGCGUAGAGAUCGGGAGGAACACCAGUGGCGAAGGCGGCCAUCUGGGACAACACUGACGCUGAGGCACGAAAGCGUGGGGAGCAAACAGGAUUAGAUACCCUGGUAGUCCACGCCCUAAACGAUGCGAACUGGACGUUGGGCACACUUAGGUGCUCAGUGUCGAAGCUAACGCGUUAAGUUCGCCGCCUGGGGAGUACGGUCGCAAGACUGAAACUCAAAGGAAUUGACGGGGGCCCGCACAAGCGGUGGAGUAUGUGGUUUAAUUCGAUGCAACGCGAAGAACCUUACCUGGCCUUGACAUGUCCGGAAUCCUGCAGAGAUGCGGGAGUGCCUUC